UAUAAAUGUUAAAAUCGAUUCUAAGUUAAGCAUUUUUAGGAUUAUUAAGCAUCUCAUAUGUGUUGGGUCUCUGAUUGGUUGCUGAAAAUAACAAAAGAAAAAAAAUAGAAUUCUCGACCGAAGCUUUUUUCUUCCUCUCUCGAGGAGGACGGCAAUGGAUGUAACCAAGUCGUGCCCCAGAAGAAGCUCAGUCGAAACCUAGCUAACGGUGCGGCUGAUUGGGAAGUGUCUUUUGCGAAUGUUGCGGCAAAGAUGGGUCCUUCAGAUCUAGCGGAUUUCCUGGACAAAGUGCCGGUACAUGCAAUCCUUCUCAAUCUCUCAUCUUCUUAAUCAAUCAAAAUUUCCCAAUUUUUUUUGGUUUGGUUUGUUAAUUUCCCAAUAGGACAAGUAUCCGCCUGUGCCCAUGUCUCGGCUAACGAGAUUUCUCGAUUACUAUGACACUGCACUUUCCGGAGUAUCAUGUCCAUGGCGUGAGAUUUUCAAGGACUCUAAUUUGGCCAGGCUGAUCAAUAGAACUGUAGAAUCUCCAUCUUCAGCUUCAGUUUCCUGCAAGCCCAACAAAACCUGUGAAAGAAUCUGGAAAUGUCCACCAUGAUAAGUUAGUUAGUAGAGAUGGUAAACACAACAAUAGUGGAUAGAAGCUAUAUGUGUAAUGGAAUGAUGUUGCUGGACUUGAUGGAGGUAAACAAGCUUUACUGCAGAUGGUGAUACUACCGAGAGUACUCUUCAUACAAAUGACUUAUAGCUGGACUUGAUGGAGCUAAACAAGCUUUAUUUUUUUGUAGGAUGUCGUCUCUCAUACAAAUGUCUAAACCUUGCAACUGCAGCAGCGAGACAUUCUCUACUCUCCAGAAUCAUAUAAAGCUUGCUCUCAAGUUUUCAGGAUCUUAUACAUUUCUAACUUGUUGUUCUGUUUUUUUUUUUCUUCCAGGUUCUGGAUGAUGUUUAUAUCAAUCAAUGAUGGUUUUGUACUUAACA